ensembl:misc_RNA Metazoa_SRP Metazoan signal recognition particle RNA
GCUGUGGUGGCAUGUGCCUGUAGUCCCAGCUGCUAGGUAGGCUGAGGCUGGAGGAUCGCUUGAGUCCAGCAGUUCUGGGCUGUCGUGUGCUAUGCCAGUCAGGUGUCUGCACUAAGUUCGGCAUCAAUAUGGUGACCUCCUGGGAGGAGGGACCACCAGGUUGCCUAAGGAGGGGUGAACUGGCCUAGGUUGGAAACAGAACAGGUCAGAACUCCUGUGCUGAUCAGUAGUGGGAUCGCACCUGUGAAUAGCCACUGCACUCCAACCUGGGCAACAUAGCCAGACCCUGUCUCUU